UGUGUGUGCAUCAGUCUCUCGAGAACCCCCUGUGAAUCAGGAGGCAUACGUUCCAGUGACUAUAGGGAGUCGAGGGGCUAAAGAGAUGAUAAAGAAAAAAUGAGGAAAUGCUGUGAAGAACUAAUAGAACGUUUCAGAAGCAGAACAAGUCGAGAGCAGUGAUGACCCUUUUCUUCCUGCUAGUACCUCCUGUCUGUCUGGCUGAACUCACCAUCAGAUGAUGUCUUGAACCUCACCUAGAUGGGCUGGUGGUGUGUGGCCAGGUUAAGAGCACCAACAGGAGUAAGAAAGUGACCUGCCUGGUUUUACCGUGUGCACUAGGGGAGGGGUUGAAAGCUUUCGGUUGAUACAUCACCUCUGGGAGUUGAAGAAGAAUGCAAUUAAGAGAGCUAAAGAAGUCAGUAGGUAUCUCUCCUGAACAAUUCUGGUUUUCUUCUAAUAGCUUUUACAAUUUUUACCUCUGUUAUGAAAUGCAAACUUUUAACCAAUAUUAGUAAUAGUAAUCUCAAAUCUCAUCAUCAUCAAAAUCUUAUUUAUGAAAUGUAGGAGUUAGUUCAUAUACAGCCUUAGCCUUUUCCACAUUAUAAAAUAUAUUCCAUAUAUAUGUGUGAUCUUCAUUUAAUAUUCAAGUAAAUGUUGUAAGAUAUUGUUAUUUUUAUUCUAACAUUUCACAGGUAUAGAAUCUGAAACUCAGAGGUCAACUGAUGUGUCAAAGAUACCUCCACAAAUCAGUACCUUGAUUAAAACUAAAAUUGGAGUCAUCUUCAUAUCUUCAUCUUUCUCCCUCUUCAUUAGGACCGAUUGUAGUCUGUUUCCCUCUCACUCACUUGCAAUCUUUAUUGCUUUAGUGUUGCAUUUGAUUUUUAUCUUUGUUUUUGUUUUAAAUACUGUCAUUAAAGUCAUAGAAAAAUCUAAAGUAAAACUGGUUGAAUAAAAAUUUUAAAAUCGACUCUAAUGUAAUAAACCAGACAAAAAUGAUACUUUACAUGUUAUAUCUUCCCUUUAAACUACAAAUAUUCAUUGAGUGUAUACCCUGUAUUAGGCUGUUGGAAUAAAACAGGGAAGAAGACAGAAGAAACUGCACCGCCAUCUUAGAUCUUGCAGCCAAAUUCCUCUGAACUUUUCUCUAAAGACGUGCUCUGGAAAAAUGUUGAUCAUUUUCCUACAUCAUGGAGGUCUUUUCAUGACCACCUUUGUCUAGACAAUGUCCUGUUUUUAGGUGCACGUUUGAGGGCUGGAGUCUCUGACCCACAGUGCUGCAGCCUGCACGUGGUUUGUCCUGACUUCUUUGCUACUUCACUUUUCGUAAGGCUCUGAGAGUGCAGGCCCUUGUGGGUGGACACUGCAGGGUGAGAGGAAGAAGUAAACUACUUUUUUCCGUUUCUGAUGGGGGUGUGGGUCAGCAGCUAUAAGCAACAGGGACCAUGGGGGGCCUCAGACUUCAGCACCUGAGAGGCAGUUUCAGUCGUAUUGGGGAGAUGCAGGCAUCUGGGUUGCUGCACAUCACCAGGGCAGGGUUCUCUCAGCAGCCCUGGAGUGCAGAGUUCCCAUCAGCUCAGCAGUGAGGGGCACAUGGGGCUCCAG
rnacentral:lncRNA from 1 species